rnacentral:rRNA from 1 species
UACAGAGGUCUCAAGCGUUGUUCGGAUUCAUUGGGCGUAAAGGGUGCGUAGGUGGCGCUGUAAGUCAGGUGUGAAAUUUCGGAGCUUAACUCCGAAACUGCACUUGAUACUGCGGUGCUUGAGGACUGGAGAGGAGACUGGAAUUUACGGUGUAGCGGUGAAAUGCGUAGAUAUUGGGAGGAACACCAGUGGCGAAGGCGGCUACCUGGACCGGUUCUGACGCUGAGGCGCGAAAGCGUGGGUAGCAAACAGG